rnacentral:rRNA from 1 species
GUCCACGCCCUAAACGAUGAUGACUAGUUGUUGGGGGAGUUAAAUCCCUUAGUAACGCAGCUAACGCGUGAAGUCAUCCGCCUGGGGAGUACGGUCGCAAGAUUAAAACUCAAAGGAAUUGACGGGGGCCCGCACAAGCGGUGGAUGAUGUGGUUUAAUUCGACGCAACGCGAAAAACCUUACCUACCCUUGACAUGUACGGAAUCCUGCAGAGAUGCAGGAGUGCCCGAAAGGGAGCCGUAACACAGGUGCUGCAUGGCUGUCGU